rnacentral:misc_RNA from 1 species
AAACAAAAAUAAGGUUACGUAGGUGACCUGCGGAGGACAUUAAUGAAUUUUGGAGUUCUACUGUGCCUGCCGUUCAUUUGGAUGUGUGCACGUAGUCUCCAUAAAUCCUUAUCAACACCUGUGCACCUUUAAAAAGGGGGAAACUGAUUAAGCUUUUUACGGGCUUAUGAGGAAUAACCUUUUUUCUUAUACAAACUCUUAAUGUCUAUUAGAAUGUUCUCUGGCCGCAAGGCUAUAAAAUAUAAACAACUUUUAACAACGGAUCUCUUGGCUCUCGCAUCGAUGAAUAACGCAGCGAAAUGCGAUAAGUAAUGUGAAUUGCAGAAUUCAGUGAAUCAUCGAAUCUUUGAACGCACCUUGCACUCCUUGGUAUUCCGAGGAGUACGCCUGUUCGAGUGUUAUGAAGCUCUCAAAACGCAAUUGGCUUAAAACCUGAUUGUUGUUUUGGAUUUGAACUUUGCCGUGUUAUCACGGCUGGUUUUAAAAGUAUUAGCUGGUACUAGAACGAAUUGAUUCUACUCAACGUGAUAAUUAUCUGAUCGUUGAGGACAUUCCUUUCACGAGGAAUGGCCAUAGUAAAUUCAAUGGACUGCUUCUAAUCUGGCUUUAAUUCUUUAUUGGAUUAACCACUUUUCAAAUCUGACCUCGAAUCAGGUGGGACUACCCGCUGAACUUAAGCAUAUCAAUAAGCGGAGGAAA